rnacentral:rRNA from 1 species
AACGAACGCUGGCGGCAUGCCUAACACAUGCAAGUCGAACGAGACCUUCGGGUCUAGUGGCGCACGGGUGCGUAACGCGUGGGAACCUGCCUUUAGGUUCGGAAUAACUCAGAGAAAUUUGAGCUAAUACCGGAUAAUGUCUUCGGACCAAAGAUUUAUCGCCUUUAGAUGGGCCCGCGUUGGAUUAGCUAGUUGGUGGGGUAAAGCCUACCAAGGCGACGAUCCAUAGCUGGUCUGAGAGGAUGAUCAGCCACACUGGGACUGAGACACGGCCCAGACUCCUACGGGAGGCAGCAGUGGGGAAUAUUGGACAAUGGGCGAAAGCCUGAUCCAGCAAUGCCGCGUGAGUGAUGAAGGCCUUAGGGUUGUAAAGCUCUUUUACCCGAGAUGAUAAUGACAGUAUCGGGAGAAUAAGCUCCGGCUAACUCCGUGCCAGCAGCCGCGGUAAUGUG